rnacentral:ncRNA from 1 species
CACCGCCCAUCACACUAUGGGAGUUGGUCAUGCCCGAAGUCAUUACCUUAACCACAAGGAGGAGGAUGCGGAAGGCAGGGCUUGUUAUUGGAGUGAAGUCGUUUCAAGGUAUUUGUAUUGGAAGGUGUGGGUG